rnacentral:rRNA from 1 species
UACGUAGGGUGCGAGCGUUAAUCGGAAUUAUUGGGCGUAAAGAGCUCGUAGGCGGUUUGUCGCGUCUGCUGUGAAAUCCCGAGGCUCAACCUCGGGCCUGCAGUGGGUACGGGCAAACUAGAGUGCGGUAGGGGAGAUUGGAAUUCCUGGUGUAGCGGUGGAAUGCGCAGAUAUCGGGAAGAGCACCCGUGGCGAAGGCGGCACUCUGGGACGGUACUGACGCUGAGACGCGAAAGCGUGGGGAGCGAACAGG